ensembl:lincRNA
UUAUUUGAAGGGAGAGGAGUAGGAUGACAUUCUGGAGCCACUUGGCAGUUCUCUACUUCUUGCCAUAACUUAGGCAAAAACAUCCAGUUACAAUUUUACUCAUGGAUAUGAAAGUAGAUUUAAAAACAAAAGAACAGCUGCUUAUUAUAAUUAUAAUAUCUUGGACAAUCUUGCUCUUACUUUUGAUAAUAUUCUUCAUAAAAUUAUGUAUUGGUUUCUAAGUUUCUUUGCGUGAUAGAUGAACUCCUUCCCACUUUCACUAAAUAGAAUCAACAAUUUUGGAAAAUUUCAAAAUGAGAAGACACAGAAGCAAACAAGGAUGAUAUCUGAAUAAAACCGCUCAACAUC